CCUCUUAUUUCGUGUACGCAAAUAAAAGGGUUCUCCACUGACGAAAUGAAAUAGCGACAACUCGUGAAUGAAUCCCACCUCGCUCUUCCCUUUGCUAAUUACCAACCACUCGGAUAUGGUAUGUAGCGAGCUUUUGUCCGCGGAGAUAACAGGGUUUUGUUAUACAGUAAUCCAAAAGAGUAAUUAGUUUUGGUCUGGGCAACCGAUUAAAUAGGAACGGAUCUAUUUUCAAGCAUUAUCAUUACCAAAUACCAAAUGAUCGCCUAACGAAUUGGCAAAACGAGCUGAAAACAGAAGGCAUCUGUAACAAGAACAAGGAACAACUUAUGGGUGUCGUGGCCUAUAGCGAGUGACGUUGAUUUGGGAUCUGUUAGGAAUCACGCUAAGUCGAUGAAGGUUUCGCCCCAGGCUUAGAAAGUACUCAUCAGUCUCGAAAUCAUCAUCGCAAGGAAUGUUGCGUGGGAAGGACUGCGGACGGUCUGGACUUAUCUUAGGAUAGCUUGUGGAAAUCUGGAAGCCCUAUCAAAACAUAUGAGAUAUUAGUUAACAGCUAUAUGUCACCAUAACUGGAGACUUGAUAAGAAAAAAAGUAAUAAUAUCAAGCAUUUGUGUAUCAAAAAAUGUGUCAAAAACUUGACAAAAGGCUAGGACGGAGAAGGAGGAGAGAUCACCACUUCAUGAUCAGGCUAUACGAUAGAGAUCGCGUGACCAAUUCAGCGUGAUCGCAGCAUGAUCAAGAUUGUACUUACCCGUGAGAGCCUCUGUGCGACAAGUUCGAGUAACGCCUGCUCCACAGUGGUGGGGUGACGACUACGCCUUAGUUCUUCCAGCCUAAAAGCAAACAACCACUAUCUAUUAUACAAUAUUCUUUAGUAAAUUACUCAUCAUAUAAAUCAUAACUCAAGAUUGCUUAUUGACUAAAGUGCGACAGGCUGAUUAGUACUGUUAAAAGUUUUUCAAAUUGAAAUAUCCGAAUCAAACUAACAAUAUUAGUGGAAGAUCCACAGGGAAAAUAAACCUCGUUUUCACCUUU